UAGAACACCCAAAAAUUUAAAGCAUCACCCUCUUUAUUCAUUUUUAAAAAUAGAGAGAAAUCUCUCUACACGAGCCAAAUUCGGCGAGAAAGAAGGCCACUGUUAUAGCCAUGGACGAAAGCUCCUGCCCGAACCUUCACAUUUCCCCGGCAUUCGGGUUCUAAAUCACUAAGACCCAGGUACGUGCGUGAGUGCAUCACUGAUGUGGCAUGGUGGAGCAGCGCAUGACGUGGAGGAAGCGCGAGACGUGCGGUGCCUGGAGACUGCCCUGGGUUGUGACGGCUGAUGGUGUUUUUGUUUUUGUUUUUAUUAUUUUUUGGGUUGUUGGGGUUUAUGUAAUUAGGCUUGGUUUGUAAUUUUGUUUUAGGUGUUUGAUUUGGGCUGUGAUUUGGACUUAAAUGUAGGUAUUUGGGCUUUAAUUGGCUUGUAUUUGGUUUUGGGUUCCUGCUGGUUUAGGCCGGGCUGAAAAUUGGGUCUAUAAUGUCGAUUUAAUUUAAGUUUUAAAAAAAUUAACUUUGUAUAA